UGACCUGUCGACAACGCAGUUCAUGUAAACCAUUUCGGCAUCGGGUCGCAUUCGUAAAACUCGUCUUGGACGUUUCCUAUUAUAGACUAAACGCACCUACCACAGUGUAGUAAUAUAUGGGGUCCGCUAUCCUAAGAAAAGGCUUGUGGGUACUGAUCUCUUGCAUCCUGAAUGCGGAGCUAAACACUUCGCAAGAUUUGGAGGGCAUCUUCCAAGACUAUGGCAGCAAGAAAACUCAACGAUUCCCAGUUUACCAUAAAGUAAAGGG